rnacentral:lncRNA from 1 species
UUUUUCUUAUUUCCGUACCAGUCCUUUGAAUUCUGUUAGGCCGGUAAAGAGAGCAGGAAGCAGAUCCAUCUGUGAAGUCUUCAACUUUGUAAGUUAUCCUUAAACUUUUCCUUUCCCUACUCACAGUUGUAUCUGAUACUGAUUAAAUUUGCAUAUGCUAGCCUCACGAUUUAAGUUCGUGAAAAAUAUUCUUUGCAAAUGAUAAUGUCAAAUACAUCACCAAUUGGACCUCCUAAAAGGGGAAGUUGCAAAAGAUGACUCUUAUAAACCAAAAGAGCUCUGUAAGAAUUCAGUAAUUUGUAGCAGUAUACAAUUUGUUGCUGAAAAUAAGCACUAUUGACAAAAAAAAUCGUUUCAAUAUCUGAAUAUCCGACUAUAGUUUAUAAGUUCAUCAAGAGGGAUAAAACAGAAUAUAAAUGUCAUGGAAUGGUGACAUCACUUAAGAGUCUGGAAAAAUAGCAUCUCUUCUCCUUUACCUCUAGCCAUUAAGCCGAAUUUGAAUCUCCUGAGAGCCUUUAGGAAAUACUUCGUGGUCCAACAAAACUUUUUUUUAAUGUGAGCAUAACAUUAAGACAAGUCUACUAGUAUAUGAUUCCAUUGUAGUCAGCCAUGUGUCGAAAGAAUCAGCAAAAACAUUUAUGCCAAUUGGCAUCAGAUCCCUUACUUUGUCUAUCAUAUGUUCCGUAUCAAAAAACAUGUUAUGCCAUAUGCCAAUGUUAUGGUCCUCAUCUAGUGAAGCAGCCAAACUUUUGCAUCUGAUUUUUCUAUAAUGUACUGUCACAGGUUCAAAUCUCAGAGAAUACGAAAUGUCCCAUUUAGCUAAUUGAUAGGGUUAGCAAUGAGGUGAUAACAUUUCCAGUGAUACUGGACUUUAGGUGAUACAACGAAUGCAUGGCACAUGGUCCGUUUGAUCUUGCGUGUAGGAACAUGAUCACAUCUGGUGAUAUUCAGGUCAAUGGUUCGGGUCCACUAUUGGUGGAUAUGCAGAAACACACUCUUUCCUUAUUUCUGUGAUAAUUGAACUAACCAUUUCUUCCUUCCCAUAUUUUCCUAGCACCUCCAUAUCUGGAGCACGAAACGUUGCUUGCGUCUGUUGGACCUGGACCCUCUCGGAGUGUGAUUCAAAGUCUGGUGAGUGGUGACAGCCUAUUCCUCGGCAAAUGCCACGAAGAUUGGACAAGCCAAGGUCAAUUUGGUUAGUUCAUUACCUAAACUUCUAUAAUCGCUAGUCAAUGAAGAAACGCCAUGCCAAUUGUUCUGCAAUUGCAGCCCGUAAGGAUUGGAUAUUAAAGAAGUGUGUUCUCCAAAAUAAUAUUAUUUGAGCAGUACUCCCUCCACCCCAUAAUGUAAGACGUUUUUUGACACUACACUAAUGUCAAAAAACGUCUUACAUUAUGGGACGGAGGGAGUAGUAGAUUGUAGGAUUGUAUUCGAGGGCUAAACUUAUGACCUGGAAUGCAUGUCAGUAAGCUAUACGUAUCACUAUAGGUCAGACAAAGAGCAGAUCAAGUAAGUAUCUCCUUGGGGUACGCACAUCAAGCUCAAAUUCCGCAAGUGUUGUUCAAUGUUGCUGGUUCCGAUUCCUUCCUUUCUUGACUGAACCAAAGCUUCACGUUACAGCUUCAAAUGAAUGUGAAAAUGUGAUAGAAUAAGGAACAAGAGUCCGGUACUGGAUUUCAGAACGCUGCUUCGAAUUUCUCAAAUUUGCAAGUAAUAUCUAAUAUGUACUCGCUAACUUGCUAAGUACGCCAUAUAUUAUUUAAAGGUCUACUUAGAUCAGAACAAUACUGUAUAUGUUAGGCGGAAGGUGGAACAGCCCAAUCGACCACCUCCCCCACCACAGUAUUGUACUCGAGUGGGUGGAUUUGAGGUGUCCAAUCAUUACUAAAAAAAUAAAAAAAUUCUGUUGCAAUACUGUUUCAUGCAAAAUUGGUUGCAGUAUUUUCUUGGAUGUUUAAAGACAAAAGUUCAUGCAACUUGUAUGGAAUAAAUCCUCACCUAAUGCAAACAAAUCAUGGAACAAUGCAAUUGCGGAGCUUAGCUUGGGUCAUACGGGCAAUGCCCCUUCUCAAUAUUUUAGCCUUUCAUAAAAUAUCUGACAUUAGCUCCAAGAGCUGGAGCUACUUACGCAUCAAGGUAACCCUAUUUCUCAUACAGUUUAUCCACCUUUGAUGGCCCCUGCUUAAAUACACUUAUGCAGCAUGCAAAAACAACCUGUGGAACAUCAAAAAUCUGCAAGUCAAUACCAGGCUUAUCACCUAUGGUUACACCAGUACCAAUACAGUCGACCCAAGCACGUUUACCAAAGUUCUGUGAGCUUGAUGACGCAGUAAACGGCUGAUUCUUUUCUCUCCUUAGGUUAGAUAGAAAAGUAAGAGUUUCCUUUAUUUUUAACUAUGUACAUCAUACUUAAAACAAAAAAUGUAGCUCCCCAGGUGAUCAGCACAUGUACAUCAAUUUAGGCAUCUCCAACUCCCAAGUACAGCAUGUAGUUCAGUUUAUGUACAUUUUCUGAAUGCAUCAUCACUAAUAAUCAGUAAAAUAUACAUUGUGAUUCAUCCUUCGAACUCACAUUUCUGGAUCUCAAUGUCAUUUGAUUAAGUACUGUGAUCAACUUUGCAAGAAAUAUUUUGCAGCUUCCAGUUAGGCAACAACUUC